rnacentral:tRNA from 1 species
UCCCGGCUGGCUCAGUCGGUGGAGCAUGUGACUCUUGAUCUCAGGGUCAUGAGUUCAAGCCCCAUGCUGGGCA